GCGGGGGUUGCCAAGCCCGGUCAACGGCGUAAGGUUUAGGCCCUUAUCUCUUAGGGGUUCGUGGGUUCAAAUCCCACCUCCCGCACCA
rnacentral:tRNA from 2 species